rnacentral:rRNA from 1 species
GACGAACGCUGGCGGCGUGCCUAAUACAUGCCAGUAGAACGCUGAAGGAGGAGCUUGCUCUUCUGGAUGAGUUGCGAACGGGUGAGUAGCGCGUAGGUAACCUGCCUGGUAGCGGGGGAUAACUAUUGGAAACGAUAGCUAAUACCGCAUAAGAGUAGAUGUUGCAUGACAUUUACUUAAAAGGUGCAAUUGCAUCACUACCAGAUGGACCUGCGUUGUAUUAGCUAGUUGGUGGGGUAACGGCUUACCAAGGCGACGAUACAUAGCCGACCUGAGAGGGUGAUCGGCCACACUGGGACUGAGACACGGCCCAGACUCCUACGGGAGGCAGCAGUAGGGAAUCUUCGGCAAUGGACGGAAGUCUGACCGAGCAACGCCGCGUGAGUGAAGAAGGUUUUCGGAUCGUAAAGCUCUGUUGUAAGAGAAGAACGAGUGUGAGAGUGGAAAGUUCACACUGUGACGGUAUCUUACCAGAAAGGGACGGCUAACUACGUG